rnacentral:rRNA from 1 species
GCUCAGGACGAACGCUGGCGGCGUGCCUAAUACAUGCAAGUCGAACGCUUCUUUUUCCACCGGAGCUUGCUCCACCGGAAAAAGAGGAGUGGCGAACGGGUGAGUAACACGUGGGUAACCUGCCCAUCAGAAGGGGAUAACACUUGGAAGCAGGUGCUAAUACCGUAUAACAAUCGAAACCGCAUGGUUUUGAUUUGAAAGGCGCUUUCGGGUGUCGCUGAUGGAUGGACCCGCGGUGCAUUAGCUAGUUGGUGAGGUAACGGCUCACCAAGGCCACGAUGCAUAGCCGACCUGAGAGGGUGAUCGGCCACAUUGGGACUGAGACACGGCCCAAACUCCUACGGGAGGCAGCAGUAGGGAAUCUUCGGCAAUGGACGAAAGUCUGACCGAGCAACGCCGCGUGAGUGAAGAAGGUUUUCGGAUCGUAAAACUCUGUUGUUAGAGAAGAACAAGGAUGAGAGUAACUGUUCAUCCCUUGACGGUAUCUAACCAGAAAGCCACGGCUAACUACGUGCCAGCAGCCGCGGUAAUACGUAGGUGGCAAGCGUUGUCCGGAUUUAUUGGGCGUAAAGCGAGCGCAGGCGGUUUCUUAAGUCUGAUGUGAAAGCCCCCGGCUCAACCGGGGAGGGUCAUUGGAAACUGGGAGACUUGAGUGCAGAAGAGGAGAGUGGAAUUCCAUGUGUAGCGGUGAAAUGCGUAGAUAUAUGGAGGAACACCAGUGGCGAAGGCGGCUCUCUGGUCUGUAACUGACGCUGAGGCUCGAAAGCGUGGGGAGCAAACAGGAUUAGAUACCCUGGUAGUCCACGCCGUAAACGAUGAGUGCUAGGUGUUGGAGGGUUUCCGCCCUUCAGUGCUGCAGCUAACGCAUUAAGCACUCCGCCUGGGGAGUACGACCGCAAGGUUGAAACUCAAAGGAAUUGACGGGGGCCCGCACAAGCGGUGGAGCAUGUGGUUUAAUUCGAAGCAACGCGAAGAACCUUACCAGGUCUUGACAUCCUUUGACCACUCUAGAGAUAGAGCUUCCCCUUCGGGGGCAAAGUGACAGGUGGUGCAUGGUUGUCGUCAGCUCGUGUCGUGAGAUGUUGGGUUAAGUCCCGCAGCGAGCGCAACCCUUAUUGUUAGUUGCCAUCAUUCAGUUGGGCACUCUAGCAAGACUGCCGGUGACAAACCGGAGGAAGGUGGGGAUGACGUCAAAUCAUCAUGCCCCUUAUGACCUGGGCUACACACGUGCUACAAUGGGAAGUACAACGAGUCGCGAAGUCGCGAGGCUAAGCUAAUCUCUUAAAGCUUCUCUCAGUUCGGAUUGCAGGCUGCAACUCGCCUGCAUGAAGCCGGAAUCGCUAGUAAUCGCGGAUCAGCACGCCGCGGUGAAUACGUUCCCGGGCCUUGUACACACCGCCCGUCACACCACGAGAGUUUGUAACACCCGAAGUCGGUGAGGUAACCUCUUGGAGCCAGUCGCCUAAGGUGGGAUAGAUG